rnacentral:tRNA from 1 species
GGAGAUUUAGCUCAGCGGUAGAGCGCUUACCUAGCAAGCACAAAGCCCUGGGUUCAGUCCCCAGCUCCG